AAUAAGUACAGUUUUAGCACUAUUUAUGUUCAACAUUUGACUGUUCGUCUUAUUUAAAAAAAGAUUAUGAUUAGUAUUUUUAUUGUUAUUAGAUGAUAAAACAUAAAUAGUACUUUAUUUGUGACUAAUUUUUUUAAUAUUUUUUAAAUAAGACGGAUGGUUAAAGCGUUAAACACGGAUCUUUAUGUCUGCACUUAUU
rfam:Oryza sativa (indica cultivar-group) chromosome 3, whole genome shotgun sequence.